AACGAACGCUGGCGGCAUGCCUAACACAUGCAAGUCGAACGAGACCUUCGGGUCUAGUGGCGCACGGGUGCGUAACGCGUGGGAAUCUGCCCUUGGGUUCGGAAUAACAGUUAGAAAUGACUGCUAAUACCGGAUAAUGUCUUCGGACCAAAGAUUUAUCGCCCAGGGAUGAGCCCGCGUAGGAUUAGCUAGUUGGUGAGGUAAAGGCUCACCAAGGCGACGAUCCUUAGCUGGUCUGAGAGGAUGAUCAGCCACACUAGGACUGAGACACGGCCCAGACUCCUACGGGAGGCAGCAGUGGGGAAUAUUGGACAAUGGGCGCAAGCCUGAUCCAGCAAUACCGCGUGUGUGAAGAAGGCCUCGGUUGUAAAGCACUUUCAGGAGGGAAGGAAGUUUUAA
rnacentral:rRNA from 1 species